rnacentral:rRNA from 1 species
UGGGGAAUAUUGCACAAUGGGCGAAAGCCUGAUGCAGCGACGCCGCGUGAGGGAUGACGGCCUUCGGGUUGUAAACCUCUUUCGACUCCGACGAAGCGAGAGUGACGGUAGGAGUAGAAGAAGCACCGGCCAACUACGUGCCAGCAGCCGCGGUAAUACGUAGGGUGCGAGCGUUGUCCGGAAUUACUGGGCGUAAAGAGCUUGUAGGCGGUUUGUCGCGUCGUCUGUGAAAACUCACAGCUCAACUGUGAGCUUGCAGGCGAUACGGGCAGACUUGAGUACUUCAGGGGAGACUGGAAUUCCUGGUGUAGCGGUGAAAUGCGCAGAUAUCAGGAGGAACACCGGUGGCGAAGGCGGGUCUCUGGGAAGUAACUGACGCUGAGAAGCGAAAGCGUGGGUAGCGAACAGGAUUAGAUACCCCCGUAGUCC